rnacentral:rRNA from 1 species
GUGGGUAGGGGUGAAAGGCCAAUCAAACUGGGAAAUAGCUCGUACUCUCCGAAAUGCAUUUAGGUGCAGCCUCUGUUGUUUUGUUCUAGAGGUAGAGCUACUGAUUGGAUGCGAGGGCUUCACCGCCUAUCAAAUCCGGCCAAACUCCGAAUGCUAGAACAUGAAGACAGGGAGUGAGCCAGCGGGUGCUAAGGUCCGUUGACGAAAGAGGGAGAACUCAGACCAUCAGCUAAGGUCCCCAAUUAUAUGCUAAGUUGGAAUAAAAACGGGGUGGGACUGCUUAGACAGCUAGGAUGUUGGCUUGGAAGCAGCCAUUCAUUUAAAGAGUGCGUAACAGCUCACUAGUCGAGCGGUCCUGCAUGGAUAAUACGCGGGCAUAAGCAUAUAACCGAAGCUAUGGGAUUGUAGAUGAUACAAUCGGUAGGAGAGCAUUCCAUUCAGCAUAGAAGCAGUACCGUGAGGUAUUGUGGAGCGGAUGGAAAAGCAAAUGUAGGCAUAAGUAACGAUAAUGCGGGUGAGAACCCCGCACGCCGAAAGAUCAAGGAUUCCCCGGCAAUGUCAAUCAUCCGGGGGUAAGUCGGAUCCUAAGGGUAAGCCGAGUGGCGAUCCCGAUGGUAAACAGGUUAAUAUUCCUGUACUGAUCAUAACUGCGAUGCAGCGACGCAGAGGUGACACUGCUGCGUACUGACGGAAUAGUACGUUGAAACCCGUAUUCUUUGAUACCGGUAGUGAAGCACGCCGGUAGAGAUGAAAGGUGAUAGUACCGCAAUGCUUCGGUUGCGCGGAUAAUGCAGGUAAGCUGACUGCCAAGAAAACCUGCUAAGCUUCAGGUAAUGAUCAUCCGUACUGUAAACGGACACACGUGAUCAGGUAGAAAAUACUAAGGCGCUCGAGAGAUUCAUGGUUAAGGAACUAGGCAAAAUGGUCCUGUAACUUCGGGAUAAAGGACGCUCUUGUGAAAGAGCCGCAGAUAAUAGGCCCAGGCGACUGUUUACCAAAAACACAUGGCUAUGCUAAUUCGCAAGAAGAUGUAUAUGGCCUGACACCUGCCCGGUGCCGGAAGGUUAAGAGGAGAGCUCAGAUGUAAGUCGAAGGUUUGAAUUGAAGCCCCGGUAAACGGCGGCCGUAACUAUAACGGUCCUAAGGUAGCGAAAUUCCUUGUCGGGUAAGUUCCGACCUGCACGAAUGGUGUAACGAUCUGGGUACUGUCUCAACCAUGAGCUCGGUGAAAUUGUAGUUCCGGUGAAGAUGCCGGAUACCCGCAACGGGACGGAAAGACCCCGUGAACCUUUACUGCAGCUUUGCAU